GACGAACCGUGCGAACGUUGUUCGGAAUCACUGGGCUUAAAGGCGCGUAGGCGGCCGGGUUGGUCGUGGGUGAAAUCCCCCAGCUUAACUGGGGAACUGCCUACGAUACUGCCUGGCUCGAGGGAGGAAGGGGCGGUCGGAACUGUCGGUGGAGCGGUGAAAUGCGUUGAUAUCGACAGGAACGCCGGUGGCGAAAGCGGACCGCUGGCCCUCUCUGACGCUGAGGCGCGAAAGCCAGGGGAGCGAACGGG
rnacentral:rRNA from 1 species